rnacentral:tRNA from 1 species
GAGUUAGUAAGAUAAUCCUAAAUCUUUGAGUCUUUUAAACUUAAAAUGCCACAGGCCUAACUUA